rnacentral:rRNA from 1 species
UUGAACGCUGGCGGCAUGCUUUACACAUGCAAGUCGAACGGUAACAGGCCUUCGGGUGCUGACGAGUGGCGAACGGGUGAGUAAUGCAUCGGAACGUACCCAGAGGUGGGGGAUAACGCAGCGAAAGCUGUGCUAAUACCGCAUGUGAUCUGAGGAUGAAAGCGGGGGACCGAGCAGCAAUGUUUGGCCUCGCGUCUUUGGAGCGGCCGAUGUCGGAUUAGCUAGUUGGUGGGGUAAAGGCCUACCAAGGCGACGAUCCGUAGCUGGUCUGAGAGGACGACCAGCCACACUGGGACUGAGACACGGCCCAGACUCCUACGGGAGGCAGCAGUGGGGAAUUUUGGACAAUGGGCGCAAGCCUGAUCCAGCAAUGCCGCGUGCGGGAAGAAGGCCUUCGGGUUGUAAACCGCUUUUGGCAGGAACGAAACGGUGUCCGCUAAUACCGGGCGCUAAUGACGGUACCUGCAGAAUAAGCACCGGCUAACUACGUG